rnacentral:rRNA from 1 species
AUUGAACGCUGGCGGCAGGCCUAACACAUGCAAGUCGAGCAGAUGAAGGGAGCUUGCUCCUGGAUUCAGCGGCGGACGGGUGAGUAAUGCCUAGGAAUCUGCCUGGUAGUGGGGGAUAACGUCCGGAAACGGGCGCUAAUACCGCAUACGUCCUGAGGGAGAAAGUGGGGGAUCUUCGGACCUCACGCUAUCAGAUGAGCCUAGGUCGGAUUAGCUAGUUGGUGGGGUAAAGGCCUACCAAGACGACGAUCCGUAACUGGUCUGAGAGGAUGAUCAGUCACACUGGAACUGAGACACGGUCCAGACUCCUACGGGAGGCAGCAGUGGGGAAUAUUGGACAAAGGGCGAAAGCCUGAUCCAGCCAUGCCGCGUGUGUGAAGAAGGUCUUCGGAUUGUAAAGCACUUUAAGUUGGGAGGAAGGGCAGUAAGUUAAUACCUUGCUGUUUUGACGUUACCAACAGAAUAAGCACCGGCUAACUUCGUG